UUUAUUAAGCGCCAGGACAAUUUUUUAUUGUUGACGAGGUUAGAACUUAUCGAAUUUUUCGGCGGAUGGUUCUAUGGUUUGGCUAAGAUCAUUAAGUAUUAACAAAAACUAGUAGCAAUACUAAAACAAAUUUAAUACUAU
rnacentral:ncRNA from 1 species